UUUUUAGAUUAAUUUAGAUUAUUUAUUUUUAAUGUAUAUUAUAAUAUGUGUAGAGCCAUAAAAAUGUUCAACAUGAGCAUAGGAGUAAGGGGGAGACAGAAUCUUUUGUGGGAAGUGAUCGAUGUAUGAAAUUCUUACCUUAACAUUAUGUUUCACUUGGAUUAAAUAGUAUGUUUGGUUGUUUACUAGUAUUAUUAAAUGUGACAGGGUCCACAACAACCUGAUGGGAAACAGUGUGGAUUCUAUGUUAUGCGAUACAUGAGAGAUUUAUUGAUAAUAUUGUAUCUGAUCACUCUCUCCCAAUAACUACACUGGUAAUUGUAAUUUAUAUUUUUAAUUAAAUUUUACUUCAAGACAAUUUCUAUAAUUUCAUAUUUGAUCACAAGUUUGUUUUUCUUAUAGUUUGCAGGAGGAUGCUACUCCAAAAAGGAAAUUGAUGAAGUAAGGAUAGAGUGGGCAGAAUUUGUAUGUAAAAUCACAGAUGAGUGAUGAUGGGUAAGUUUUAUAUAAAGUUAAUUUUUUAAUAUUUUUGAGAUAUAAGGUUAACAAAUUUUUAAAUUGAUACUUGAAAUAUUUUAAUAUUGCAGAUGGUGUAACUUGCUUGUUUUCGGUGUUUGCAGUU
rnacentral:lncRNA from 1 species